ensembl:lncRNA
CUCCCGAUCGGGGCCUUUCGGGGAGGGUUGCGCAGAGCCCGGCUGCCGCCUUCUUGCUUGACGCCGGUCAGGUGUGUGGCUUCAGCUCUGAGCUCUUCCGCCUGCCGUGGGAAAGGUGUGGAGAAAUUACUCUUCAACCACGCAGCCGGGGAUGUCCAGGCUUGGUGUGUUAUGGAUUUGAGUCAGACAGGGCAUGCAAGAGUGUGCAGGCGGAUGGGCAAGGAGAGGAGCAAGGGUUCCCUGUAUGGGAAGGAUACCUCCUGGAUCUCAAGCCCUGCCCAGAGCCUGAACCAGUCUACUGCUUUUCCUGGGUGCCUGCCACAAAGGUUACCUCCCUGCUGAGAUCCUGGCAUGCUCCCAGUCCUCUGCAGCCCGAGCUUCUUUCAAGCUCACAUACCCAGAGCUCACCGCUGUAAUUAUG